UUAAAUUGAAGAGUUUGAUCAUGGCUCAGAUUGAACGCUGGCGGCAGGCCUAACACAUGCAAGUCGAACGGUAACAGGAAGCAGCUUGCUGCUUUGCUGACGAGUGGCGGACGGGUGAGUAAUGUCUGGGAAACUGCCUGAUGGAGGGGGAUAACUACUGGAAACGGUAGCUAAUACCGCAUAACGUCGCAAGACCAAAGAGGGGGACCUUAGGGCCUCUUGCCAUCGGAUGUGCCCAGAUGGGAUUAGCUAGUAGG
rnacentral:rRNA from 1 species